ACAGGGAGCACCGUGAUCAAAAAGGCGGUCUCCCCAGGUCGAGGCCUUUCCAUUGCACUUCGGAUAGGCUGAAGCUUGCGAAUGCCCCAAAUGUGGGCAUCUCGGGUACGCAAUUUUUUAGUGUGGGGGACUGCGUUCGCGCUAACCCCCGAAUAAAAUAAUAGAAUUUAAAUGCAAGACUGACCACAUUUCCCAUAAUCAAAAGUAAAUACUGCGAAG
rnacentral:lncRNA from 1 species